GAACUAUUUAAUGUAUAUAUAUGAUAAUGGUUAUAUAUGUGUUGUUAGAAUCUGUUUCUGAAGUUUAACAGUUGAUCCAUUAUUAAUGGAGGAAUAUUGAUUAUAUUCAAUAUAGACAAAGUUUUAGAUCUGAGAAAAUAUUUCUGUUAUUUAGUAUUAAAUUGAAAAUAUGAAUUGUGAAGGUUUUGUGUAGAGUUUAUCAUUCUGUAUAGAGGAAACAUAUGAAUAGAUAUAUUUUGGAUUUAUAAGCUAAGGCUAUUUCCCUAAAUUAAUACAAUAGAACUAUAUUUGUUAUAUGUUGAAAUGAACUUGAUUUUAAUUCAGUUGUUAUUUUUAAACAUAAAAAAUGUCCAUUACAACCAUACAUUAUUUUAAAGAGCCUGAUACCAGACUAGUUAUCAAUACAUACUAUAGAACACUGAUUUUCACAUUUGUUUUUCUAUACUUGUACCAAAGAACACAGAUUUUCAAAUUUAUUUAUGCAUACCACAGAAUACUGAAUUUCAAAUUUAUUCAGAUAUCCACAGUUCACAGACUUUCAAAUGUAAACAUCACCUAGAACACUGAUUUUCAUUAGCAUUUAUGAUACUAUUGUAUGGUUAACUAAAAAAUUCAAUGAUCAUUUUGUAAUUAUAUUCAAUGUUUAAAUCAGGAUUUUUUUCUUUUAAGAAUAGCCUGUUAGCUUGUUUUUUUUCACUUAAGGUGGUACCCAACACUUUCACUAAAAUUAAUUUGGCUCGUUUAAUUUUCAUAAAAUUUUGACAAAGUAUUUACUUUGACCCUAUGACAAAAAUAUAAAAAUUUCAAAAACAUUGAACCAACCAUUUUAUCAGAAAAAUUACACUGGUUAUAUAGCAGUUUGACAGACACUAAUUUUGAUCAUUGAGAAGCUUAAUAUCACAACGUAAUAAAAACAAUUAGCUGAUUUUACAGAGUUAUCUCCCUGUAGUGUUAGGUACCAACUUAACCAUUUUUACCAAACACAAUGACUAUAUUUGUAAACUUGUUUGAGUAACAGAAGAGGUUUACUCUUUAAAAAGUUCUCUACCCAACUAAAUAGAAAUAUAUUGUAUGGUUGUAAUUUUAUUUCAUUACAUAUGUUUUUGCUCAAUUGAAGUCCACAUUAAUGUGGUGCUUCAGAUGCCACUAAUCAGAAUUAGACCUAUUAUUUUAUUGAAUCCAAAAAAUGAAGUAAUGAAAUGACUCCCACUAAGGUUUGUGAAAUUGUGUGGAGUAAUAACAAUUAGGUAUUUUUUUGUGGAAAAGCCCCUUCAUAAUUGAUUGUUAUUUGUAGGCAGAACUCUCAGAAUUAAAAAUUAUUUUCAGAGUUAUAUAGCAUGUCUACAUCAACUAGUACAAGUUUGUUUUUUUGUUGUUAUAAUUAUGUUAUAUUCUAAUGUGAGAAUAUAUUUGAGGGAACUAUUUAAUAUCAAUAGCAACAUUUAAAUGUUUUCAUUAGUUUGAUUUUAUCAAACUUUUAUUUCAGUGCUUUUUAAACUUUUUGUUACAUUGUGAUACUUUUAUAUUUGUUUUUCUUCAGUACAUAACCAUGUUCUAUUGUAUUUUUGCUGGCAGUUAUUUUUACCAUUUCAAUGCAUCAUUUUCCGUGAAUGAUUAUAAUGGCUCAACAAACCAUAUGUUGGUCUUCAUGCCAGUAAUGUUUCAUAAUACAGACUCUCCUUGUAGUGGAUAUUUUCUUGCAUUUUGCUGGAUCGUGAAAUUGGCUAAAAACCAUCAACCCCUUCCUGAAAUGGAAGCAUUUUAAUUAUCAGGGUAAUAUGUAAUAUAUUGGGUUAAUUGUAGAUGUUGAUUGGUUGUUGCUGUUGCUUUUAUUAUUUGAUGCAUAUUUCAUCCCACUUAAGAAUACUCAAACGAGUAUUUUUUCACAAACAACUUUUUUCAACAGAAUUUUAGUUGGCUAUUUCAUUUGAAUGACAACGAAAUUAUAUCAGGACUUCAUAAAAUUUGGAUAACGAUUUCUGACCUUGGUUCAUCUGUUCAACUAAAACAGUCCUAAUCUUGUCAAUAUAAUAAAUAUGUUUGAUUUCUUUGUCAGCAGGCAAAUGAAUAUGUAUAAUUUCUUAGUAAUGCAGUGAAAAAAGCUUCAUGAAAAUGUUGAUACAAAAAAUAGAAGUUCUCACUGUUAUUACAUCUUUAAUGUUGUUCUACGUAACAUACUAUUUAUAUAAUAAAAGUAAACGUUAACUAAGGUAGACCAAAGGAAUUUGAUAUAUAAUUGAAAUUAUA
rnacentral:lncRNA from 1 species